CCCCGUAACGGGGCGAGCCGCGCAGCCCGCCGCGCGCGCGAAGAAGGCCCCCGGGCCGAAAGCACCCCCAGCGAGGAGGAAGGGCCCAGCGCUAAUAGCACCGUGCACCGACGCCACCCGCAGAAGAAGCACCGGCCAACCCCGUGCCAGCAGCCGCGGUAAUACGGAGGGUGCAAGCGUUAAUCGGAAUCACUGGGCGUAAAGCGCACGCAGGCGGUUUGUUAAGUCAGAUGUGAAAUCCCCGAGCUUAACUUGGGAACUGCAUUUGAAACUGGCAAGCUAGAGUCUUGUAGAGGGGGGUAGAAUUCCAGGUGUAGCGGUGGGGGGCGGGGGAGAUCUGGAGGAAUACCGGUGGCGAAGGCGGCCCCCUGGACAAAGACUGACGCUCAGGUGCGAAAG
rnacentral:rRNA from 1 species